rnacentral:rRNA from 1 species
AGUGAACGCUGGCGGUAGGCCUAACACAUGCAAGUCGAACGGCAGCACAGUAAGAGCUUGCUCUUACGGGUGGCGAGUGGCGGACGGGUGAGGAAUACAUCGGAAUCUACUUUUUCGUGGGGGAUAACGUAGGGAAACUUACGCUAAUACCGCAUGCGACCUACGGGUGAAAGCAGGGGAUCUUCGGACCUUGCGCGAUUGAAUGAGCCGAGGUCGGAUUAGCUAGUUGGCGGGGUAAAGGCCCACCAAGGCGACGAUCCGUAGCUGGUCUGAGAGGAUGAUCAGCCACACUGGAACUGAGACACGGUCCAGACUCCUACGGGAGGCAGCAGUGGGGAAUAUUGGACAAUGGGCGCAAGCCUGAUCCAGCAAUACCGCGUGGGUGAAGAAGGCCUUCGGGUUGUAAAGCCCUUUUGUUGGGAAAGAAAAGCAGCAGGUUAAUACCCCGCUGUUCUGACGGUACCCAAAGAAUAAGCACCGGCUAACUUCGUG